rnacentral:rRNA from 1 species
AGCCCAGAGCCUGAAUCAGUGUGUGUGUUAGUGGAAGCGUCUGGAAAGGCGCGCGAUACAGGGUGACAGCCCCGUACACAAAAAUGCACAUGCUGUGAGCUCGAUGAGUAGGGCGGGACACGUGGUAUCCUGUCUGAAUAUGGGGGGACCAUCCUCCAAGGCUAAAUACUCCUGACUGACCGAUAGUGAACCAGUACCGUGAGGGAAAGGCGAAAAGAACCCCGGCGAGGGGAGUGAAAAAGAACCUGAAACCGU